rnacentral:rRNA from 1 species
UACGUAGGGGGCAAGCGUUGUCCGGAUUCAUUGGGCGUAAAGAGCGUGUAGGCGGCCAGGUAGGUCGGUUGUGAAGACUGGAGGCUCAACCUUCAGAGGUCGACCGAAACCAUCUGGCUAGAGUCCGGGAGAGGAGAGUGGAAUUCCUGGUGUAGCGGUGAAAUGCGCAGAUAUCAGGAAGAACACCCGUGGCGAAAGCGGCUCUCUGGAACGGUACUGACGCUGAGACGCGAAAGCGUGGGGAGCGAACAGG